AUACAUAUCUUAAUACCAUGUCUGGGUAUGAAUCAAAAUAUGGGUUCAUAUGUACAAGAUUCCAUGGUGGUCUUAGGUCUAAGGAUUACUUGCACAACUUCCACUUAGAGAACCAUCUUUGACAUGCAAGUAAGGCUUCCAUAAGAUGUUCUCUUUCAUCGAGUCAAUUCAGUGGACUCAUUUUUCAAAUGAGCAUCCACAUCUUUGUUAGAUGUGUGCCCUAGAUGCC
rnacentral:lncRNA from 1 species